rnacentral:rRNA from 1 species
AGUGAACGCUGGCGGCGUGCCUAAUACAUGCAAGUCGAACGGAGUGGCGCACGGGUGAGUAAUAUAUAGCUAAUCUGCCCCUUGCUGGAGGACAACAGUUAGAAAUGACUGCUAAUACUCCAUAGCAAGGGAUGAGACUCUAUCGUAUCAGCUAGUCGGUGGGGUAACGGCCUACCGAGGCUAUGACGCGUAACUGGUCUGAGAGGAUGAUCAGUCGAAUUGGAACUGAGACACGGUUCAAACACCUAGGGGAGGCAGCAGUAGGGUAUAGUGCGCAAGGGGGGAAACCCUGAAGCAGCAACGCCGCGUGGAGGAUGAUAAUUUGCGGAGAGGAAACUCAUUUUGUUAGGGAAGCGGUACCUAACGAAUAAGCACCGGCUAACUCCGUGCCAGCAGCCGCGGUAAUUC